ACGCAGUAGCAAUACUGAGUGGCAGACGGGUGAGUAACAUGUGGGAAUCUGCCUUGUGGUUCAGGACAACAUUGGGAAACCGAUGCUAAUACUGGAUAAGCCCUUACGGGGAAAGUUUUAAUGCCAUAAGAUGAGCCCGCAUUUGAUUAGUUAGUUGGUGAGGUAAUGGCUCACCAAGACAAUGAUCAAUAGCUGAUCUGAGAGGAUGAUCAGCCACACUGGGACUGAGACACGGCCCAGACUCCUACGGGAGGCAGCAGUGGGGAAUCUUGCACAAUGGAGGAAACUCUGAUGCAGCGAUGCCGCGUGAGUGAAGAAGGCCUUUGGGUUGUAAAGCUCUUUUGUAGGGGAAGAUAAUGACUGUACCCUAAGAAUAAGGUCCGGCUAACUUCGUGCCAGCAGCCGCGGUAAUACGAAGGGACCUAGCGUAGUUCGGAAUUACUGGGCGUAAAGCGCGCGUAGGCCGUUGAGUUAGUUAAUUGUGAAAUCCCAAAGCUUAACUUUGGAACUGCAAUUAAAACUGCUCGACUAGAGUUUGAUAGAGGAAAGCGGAAUACAUAGUGUAGAGGUGAAAUUCGUAGAUGUUAUGUAGAACACCAGUUGCGAAGGCGGCUUUCUGGAUCAACACUGACGCUGAGGCGCGAAAGUAUGGGUAGCAAAGAGGAUUAGAUACCCUCGUAGUCCAUACCAUAAACGAUGAUUGCUAGAUGUUGGAAAUUUAUUUUCAGUAUCGCAGCUAACGCAUUAAGCAAUCCGCCUGGGGAGUACGACCGCAAGGUUAAAACUCAAAUGAAUUGACGGGGANCCGCACAAGCGGUGGAGCAUGUGGUUUAAUUCGAAGAUACGCGCAGAACCUUACCAACCCUUGACAUGUCUGUCGCGAGUUUAGGAAACUAGACUUUUCGGUUCNGCCGGACAGAACACNNNGCUGCAUGGNUGUCGUCAGCUCG
rnacentral:rRNA from 1 species